GAUGAAGAACGUAGCGAAAUGCGAUACGUAAUGUGAAUUGCAGAAUUCAGUGAAUCAUCGAGUCUUUGAACGCACAUUGCGCCCCCUGGUAUUCCGGGGGGCAUGCCUGUCCGAGCGUCAUUGCUGCCCUCAAGCACGGCUUGUGUGUUGGGCCUCCGUCCUCCUCCCGGGGGACGGGCCCGAAAGGCAGCGGCGGCACCGCGUCCGCUCCUCGAGCGUAUGGGGCUUCGUCACCCGCUCUUGUAGGCCCGGCCGGCGCUUGCCGACACAUCAAUCUUUUUUCCAGGUUGACCUCGGAUCAGGUAGGGAUACCCGCUGAACUUAAGCAUAUCAAUAAGCGGAGGA
rnacentral:misc_RNA from 1 species